AUGUGGUCAAGCUAUUAAGGGCGUGUGGGGGAUGUCUCGGUGUCAGAAGGCGAUGAAGGGCGUGGAAGUCUGCGAAAAGCCCGGGGGAAUUGACAAACGAGUUGCGAUCCCGGGGUUCCCGAAUAUGCGCACGCUGAAUCCAUAGGCGUGUAGCGGCCAACCCGGUGAACUGAAACAUCUAAGUAACCGGAGGAAAAGAAAGAAAAAUCGAUUCCCUCAGUAGCGGCGAGCGAACGGGGAUUAGCCCAAACCGUGGAGGUUUUCCUCCGCGGGGUUGUAGGGCCUUUCACAUGGGAGUUACAAAGCAACCUGUUAGCAGAACGAUUUGGAACGGUCGGCCACAGAGGGUGACAGCCCCGUAUGCGGCAACAGCGUUGUCUCUCGAAGGGUACCUGAGUAGGUCGGGUCACGUGAAACCCCGAUUGAAUCCACGGGGACCAUCCCGUAAGGCUAAAUACUCGCUGACAACCGAUAGUGAACUCAGUAGGGCGACUGAAAGAUGAGAAGAACCCCUGCCUAGGGGAGGAUAGUGAACCUGAAACCACAUGCCUACAAGCGGUCGGAGCACUAUGCCCGCGCAAGCGGGAACGUGUGACGGCGUGCCUUUUGCAUAAUGAUCCGGCGAGUUACCGUCUGCGGCGAGGUUAAGGCCUUACGGGCUGGAGCCAUAGGGAAACCGAGUCUGAACAGGGCGUCAAUGAGUCGCAGGUGGUAGACGCGAAACUGCGUGAUCUACCCAUGAGCAGGUUGAAGCGCGGGUUAUACUGCGUGGAGGACCGAACCCACUUGGGUUGAAAACCGAGGGGAUGACUUGUGGGGAGGAGUGAAAGUCUAAUCAAACGCAG
rnacentral:rRNA from 1 species